rnacentral:rRNA from 1 species
AACGAACGCUGGCGGCAGGCUUAACACAUGCAAGUCGAACGCCCCGCAAGGGGAGUGGCAGACGGGUGUGUAACGCGUGGGAAUCUACCCAUCCCUACGGAACAACUCCGGGAAACUGGAGCUAAUACCGUAUACGCCCUUAGGGGGACAGAUUUAUCGGGGAUGGAUGAGCCCGCGUUGGAUUAGCUAGUUGGUGGGGUAAAGGCCUACCAAGGCGACGAUCCAUAGCUGGUCUGAGAGGAUGAUCAGCCACAUUGGGACUGAGACACGGCCCAAACUCCUACGGGAGGCAGCAGUGGGGAAUAUUGGACAAUGGGCGCAAGCCUGAUCCAGCCAUGCCGCGUGAGUGAUGAAGGCCUUAGGGUUGUAAAGCUCUUUCACCGAUGAAGAUAAUGACGGUAGUCGGAGAAGAAGCCCCGGCUAACUUCGUGCCAGCAGCCGCAGUAAAAC